CGUCUUGGGUUGGAUCUCUGGUGGCAGCCAGAGCAAAGGAUUUUGAGGCCUCCUACCUAAAGUUUAAGUGCAUAAUUAAAACCCUGUUUUGAAUAUAUCUCCAGAAGUGGAAUUGCUGAAUCACAAGGUCUAGUGUUGGAUGAUGUUCCUGCCGUACUAUGCAAACUGGUCACAGGCAUCUCUUCACUUGUCGGUAGACACAUUUAGGAGCCAGACACCAAGGAUUGGCUAAAGACACAGAGCUAACUAUGAAGAGGAGCUUGGAGCUCGUGUCCUGCUGGAGGGAGGAACUGGCACGUGGACGAAGUGAUAACACAGGGAACCCAUCUUACCACAUACAGAUCUUCCUAGAAGAAUAUGCUGAUAAGAAGUACCAAUCCAAGUGGCGACGUCUCCAGCACUCUCCCAGGACCCUUGCAGAACACCUUUCCUUAUCAGCUCCUCUCCCUCUGACCUUGUCUACCACUCGGCAGUAGAAGUUCUCUUCACUUCAUGUAUCAGGUCUCUCCCUCAUUUGUCCCUCUUACUAGCUCCUGAAUUACUUAGCAGAACCAGAAACUUUGCAUCAUUCCCAUAACUAAUAUUUACACGUUUCUUUAGAUGCCCUUUCAACUAGAUUCCACUGAUACAAUCCCUGCAAUUUCCAUAACUGUCUUGAAAGCAGUGCAUUAAACUGAAAAUCAGACAAUGAAGUUGAAACUGACCUGCCUUCAAACAAUAGUGCUGUAAUGCACGCUUCCUCUGACCCUGGUGUGUUAUGUAAGUCUCUCUGCCUAUGCCUUCUGUGGUGAAAAGGUCCUUUUAGAAGGCUUGUACGGAGCAUUAUACAUGGAGUGUCUGGAAUCUAAUACGCACUCAACAAAUGCUCAUCCAAACCCUUGACUCGCCAGUCAAUUAAUCCACACGGAAGAAAGAAAAGCAAAUGAAAAUCUUUGGGGACAUAUUUUUUGUUUAAUUGUCUGCAGGGCUAAUUGUUCUGAAGUUUCCUUAUUUCCAUUGUGUAUUUUACCUGGAGAUAUACAGAAGUGAGGACUUUCCCCCCAGUUAGGUGCCAGGAGGUUUGUGAAGAUAACAACAAAUUAUAUGAGAACUUUUAAGAUGUGGCUGACUGAGAAGGAAUAAUUGUUGAUUUCUAGAUUGGUUAUUUACCUUUUGUGGCUGGUUGUUUCAAUUAAUUCACCAGUUUUAUUCAAUUAUUUGAUUCCAAAGAGUGGUUCUAAAUUAAAAACAACCAUCUUGCCUAAAAUUGUCCUUGGACAUUGAGGGCCUAACACCUUCUGGUUAUGGUUGUGUACAUGGCUGAUAUCCCAGGUACCCUUUGCCUGGUGCUCUCUCAAGUGUAAGCCUUGAUGGUUUUGCAGGCCUGAGCACCCUUUUAUCUCCAUUUUCUCAGCUGUUGCUGAUGAGUACAGAAGUUUAGUUAUUUGGCUCACGCCUGUAAUCCCAGCACUUUGGGAGGCCAACGCGGGUGGAUCACGAGGUUAGGAGUUCGAGACCAGCCUGGCCAACAUAGUGAAACCC